rnacentral:rRNA from 1 species
CAGCAGCCGCGGGAAUACGUAGGUGGCAAGCGUUGUCCGGAAUUAUUGGGCGUAAAGCGUGCGUAGGCGGUGAGUUAAGUCUGCUGUGAAAUCCCCGGGCUCAACCUGGGAAUGGCAGUGGAUACUGGCUCGCUAGAGUGUGUCAGAGGAUGGUGGAAUUCCCGGUGUAGCGGUGAAAUGCGUAGAGAUCGGGAGGAACAUCAGUGGCGAAGGCGGCCAUCUGGGACAACACUGACGCUGAGGCACGAAAGCGUGGGGAGCAAACAGGAUUAGAUACCCCGGUAGUCCCUGUCUCUUAUAC